ACUGCUUUUCUUUGAUAUCCCCAUAUUGAGGAGCCCAUCUUUCCCGCCAUUAAGGUUCAAGAUUGAUGGGCCUUUUCUU
rnacentral:sRNA from 1 species